AUUAUUACAGAAAACCGAUGGACAAGAAAUGUUGUCGACCUUCUACAUUAUUAUUAGAAAACCAACAAAUUCAAAAUAAGAACAAUUGUACAGAACAAUUCUUAGUAUAAAGAACUCCAUUGACUAUAAUAUGUAGACACAAUCAACACAAAGAAAGCAUCGAACACAGCAGAGAGAGUCAAUGUGUUGACAUCCAUCUGUCCAUGUGAAGUUCAAAGCUUCUUCUUCUGCUUCAUAAUCAUAAUUAUUUCCAAAUCCAUUUUGCCAUAUGACGCUUAAGACAUUUUCAACCUCAUGGAGCGUUUCAAAAGUCUGCUAAACAAGAUUGUAUCGUAUGACUUCACCGGGAAUUUGCAAAACCAGGAAAGAAUCUUCGUCCUUUUAGCUCCAAAUCAGACAAAGAAUGAACCAGAGGUAAUACCAGUCCGUUGGGUUAUGAUAAUUAGGGAUCAUUCCAGGAGAAGCAGUAACAAGUGGUGAAAGAUCAAGCUCGUGUUGGAAUGUGGAAGCAGAAUUAUCCAGAAAUUAAAAAAUUUAUUUAAUUCAAAAAAUAAUAUCGUCUAGAUAUUCACGUGUAUGUUAUAUAAAAAAUAAAGGAUUUGAAUUUUUACCUAAAUUCGAUGAUAAAUUCUUGAAUUUAUUCUAAAUCACGAACUUUCAGCUUUUUAAUUCGAAGAACUUGAUGUUUCAAACUUCCAAGUCUUCUAU
rnacentral:lncRNA from 1 species